rnacentral:lncRNA from 1 species
CUUUGUUCUUGCUUCAAAAUGUGAGCAGAAUUGCCAUGAGUCCCUUCACAGGAAGAAGUGUUAAAGGCUGGUAAGUGACUGACCACACUCUUUCCCUUUGAUGUGGUGACUGGAAAAGUUCAAGUUAUCUGGCAGUUGUUCAUUAGCCUGGGUCUUUGAGUGAAGAUCCAGCUGAUUCACAAUGGGCUAGUGGGGUGAGUAGGAAACUAAUCUUUGUUGUAUUUAGCUAGAUCCAGAAGUUAGCUGUCUAUGGUGACUCAUGCCUGUCAUCCCAGAGGCUCUGGAGGCUGAGGCAGGAGGAUCAGAAGUUCAAAGCCAGCCUCAGCAAUUUAGUGAGGCUAAGCAAUUCAGCGAGACCUUGUCUCUAAAUAAAAUAUUACAAAAAGGGGCUGGGGGACGUGGCUCAGUGGUUAAGCGCUCCCAGGUUCAAUACCCAGUACCAAACAAACAAAAAAACAACACACACACACACACACACACAAAAUUCAGAAGUCGUUUGUUACUGCAGCACAAGCUGUCCUGUGCAGACAGACUAGAAAUUCCUUAAGCACUUAUGCUUAACUCACCUUUCCAUCUCCUGUAGAACACAGAACAAUACUUCAUGGAUGUUCAAUAAUUAUUGCCAAUUGGUGAUAUGAACUGAGAUAAGGCAAAAUAUAUUAGACUGGAGAGUGAAACUUGUUAUCAGUAAUUCAACUUAAGACUUCAGUGUCUGAAAAACCCAAAUAUAUGUGCAAGAUGAUUCCAAUAACAUUCUUAUAUAUAUGAGGAGGCAGAAUAGUGCAAUGAAAGAAACUUGGGCUUUUGAGCCAAAUACAUCUGGGUUCAGGUACAAUCUCUUCUUCUAUGUAUGUGGCUGCAUAGCCAUGGGCAAGUUAUUGAAGAUCUUUGGGUACUAGUUUCCUCAUCUGUAACAGGGAUAAUAUCACCAACUACCACACAGAAUUAUUGUGAGAUUAAUGAGAGAAUGUAUUUAAAGUCCUUGGCAUGUCAUGAAUGGUCAACAGUUACUCUCUUAGGUCUCUUCUCACCAGAUGUGUGUGGGUUGGUGUUAACUCUUGCUUAACUCUCUGGGAACUCCUUCCUUUCAUUUACUCCCUCUGAGAUCUCCAUUACUUGCCUAGUCCCUGGAUUUAUUUAACUCAGUCUUCCUGUUCCUUAAAGUUUUGCUUUUGCUGCCUUAUGCAUAUUCUGUUCAUCCAUAACUGGCUGGAGUUGGCAGGAGCCAUU